GGACUACCGGGGUAUCUAAUCCUGUUUGAUACCCACACUUUCGAGCAUGAACGUCAGUUACGGCUUAGUGUGCUGCCUUCGCAAUCGGAGUUCUUCGUGAUAUCUAAGCAUUUCACCGCUACACCACGAAUUCCGCACACCUCAACCGCACUCAAGGACGCCAGUAUCAACUGCAAUUUUAAGGUUGAGCCCCAAACUUUCACAGCUGACUUAACGACCCGUCUGCGCUCCCUUUAAACCCAAUAAAUCCGGAUAACGCUUGCAUCCUCCGUAUUACCGCGGCUGCUGGCACGGAGUUAGCCGAUGCUUAUUCAUAAAGUACAUGCAAACGGGUAUGCAUACCCGACUUUAUUCCUUUAUAAAAGAAGUUUACAACCCAUAGGGCAGUCAUCCUUCACGC
rnacentral:misc_RNA from 1 species